rnacentral:rRNA from 1 species
GGGAAACUCGCAUUAGGGGGGGUGCAGGCUUUCGGGAUUACCCWCCGGCGCACGGGUGCGUAACGCGUAUGCAAUCUACCUUUUACAGGGGAAUAGCCCAGAGAAAUUUGGAUUAAUGCCCCAUAGUAUUACGACUUGGCAUCAAGAUGUAAUUAAAGUUCCAACGGUAAAAGAUGAGCAUGCGUCCCAUUAGUUAGUUGGUAAGGUAACGGCUUACCAAGACAAUGAUGGGUAGGGGUCCUGAGAGGGAGAUCCCCCACACUGGUACUGAGACACGGACCAGACUCCUACGGGAGGCAGCAGUGAGGAAUAUUGGACAAUGGGCGCAAGCCUGAUCCAGCCAUGCCGCGUGCAGGAAGACGGUCCUAUGGAUUGUAAACUGCUUUUGUACGGGAAGAAACACUCCUUCGUGAAGGAGCUUGACGGUACCGUAAGAAUAAGGAUCGGCUAACUACGUG